UGGGGAAUAGUGGACAAUGGGCGCAAGCCUGAUCCAGCCAUGCGGCGUGAGUGAUGAAGGCCCUAGGGUUGUAAAGCUCUUUCACCGGUGAAGAUAAUGACGGUAACCGGAGAAGAAGCCCCGGCUAACUUCGUGCCAGCAGCCGCGGUAAUACGAAGGGGGCUAGCGUUGUUCGGAUUUACUGGGCGUAAAGCGCACGUAGGCGGCCUUUUACGUCAGCGGUGAAAUCCCGGGGCUCAACCCCGGAACUGCCUUUGAUGCUGGAAGUCUUGUGUAUGGUAGAGGUGGGUGGAAUUCCGAGUGUAGAGGUGGAAUUCGUAGAUAUUCGGAGGAACACCAGUGGCGGAGGAGGCUCACUGGACCAUUACUGACGCUGAGGUGCGAAAGCGUGGUGGGCAAACAGG
rnacentral:rRNA from 1 species